GUCUGCAGGCUGAGGAACAAGGAGAGCCAGUUCGAGUUCCAAAACUAAAGAACUUGGAGUCUGAUGUUCAAGGGCAGGAAGCAUCCAGCGUGGAAGAAAGAUGUAGGUGGGAGGCUAGGCCAGUCUCUUUUCACAUUUUUUCUGCCUGCUUAUAUUCUAUCCCCACUGGCAGCUGAUUAGGUUGUACCUCGAGAUUAAGAGUGGGUCUGUCUUCCCAAGCCCACUGACUUAAAUGUUAAUCUCCUUUGGCAACUUCCUCACAGACACGCUGAGGAUCAAUACUUUGUAUCGUUCAGUACAAUCAAGUUGAUACUUAGUAUUAACCAUCUCUGCAAGUUAUUAAAGAAAAUGAUCUGAUCUGAUGAGUCGAAGACCAUGUUACUUGAUCUGGUUCAGCUUAGAUACUUCAUGUUAAAAUCUGAGAACUCUCCUUGAGAUCAGAGAUCUGUCUUCUGUGCCAGAAGCCACUGCUAAAGUUCUGACCUAA